UAGGGAAUCUUCCACAAUGGACGCAAGUCUGAUGGAGCAACGCCGCGUGAGUGAAGAAGGCUUUCGGGUCGUAAAACUCUGUUAUUGAAGAAGAACGUGUGUGACAGUAACUGGUCAUGCAGUGACGGUAUUCAAUCAGAAAGUCACGGCUAACUACGUGCCAGCAGCCGCGGUAAUACGUAGGUGGCAAGCGUUGUCCGGAUUUAUUGGGCGUAAAGCGAGUGCAGGCGGUCUUUUAAGUCUGAUGUGAAAGCCUUCGGCUUAACCGAAGAAGGGCAUCGGAAACUGGGAGACUUGAGUGCAGAAGAGGAGAGUGGAACUCCAUGUGUAGCGGUGAAAUGCGUAGAUAUAUGGAAGAACACCAGUGGCGAAGGCGGCUCUCUGGUCUGUAACUGACGCUGAGGCUCGAAAGCGUGGGUAGCAAACAGGAUUAGAUACCCUGGUAGUCCACGCCGUAACGAUGAAUACUAAGU
rnacentral:rRNA from 1 species